ACGAAUUAAGAUGUUGUUCUCAAUUUUCUAUCCUACUAUAUUAUUUGGGAAGUACUUUUUAAAUGUAACCUUAAUUUUUGUAAGUAAUUACAUAGGUAUGCCAUUAAAAAUAAAAUUUU
rnacentral:sRNA from 1 species